GGACCAGACCAAUCAUUGAUUCAAUUUCAGUUUAAACAGUCACAAGGGGAAUUCUUUAGACAAUAUUAUGUUAAAACUCUCAUGGGUCUUCAGAACUCUACAACAUAGUGGCUAAUUAGACAAUUAAAAAAGAAAAGAGAAAACUACCAGCCUUGUAAUCUGGUGGCAUUGGCUUGCUGCCGAAGUGCAAAUAUAUCUUGGAUUUGUGUCAUGCCAUGCCAUGCCCUUCCCCUUUCCCUUUCCCCACUAGCUUCCCCAAUCAAGCAUUUGAUUACGCAC
rnacentral:misc_RNA from 1 species